UAAAUAGUCAAUCUCUGCUAAUGAGGCUUUCUGCAUAUUGAAGGUCAGACAUUUUGUUCUGUUUUCUUUCUCUAGCAAACUAAAGGACAAAGCAUAAUUGAGUUCAAAAACAUCCAAGUGCAGGAUGGUGGAGAGUACAUUUGUGAAGCGAGCAACACUGCUGUUGAUAGCCAAGGAAAUACCAUUGUGAAGAAUUUGUCGAUACCCAUUAACAUUGAAUCAAAACCUUUCAUCAUUGGGCUGGCCUCACCCAGAGAAGUGUAUUCUUAUUUGGGCAACAGUGAUCCAACAUGGGUGCGAUGCAAGUUUGGUGGUUAUCCAGAACCAUUUGUUACUAUGCGAUUUAAAAAAAAGCUCAUGUCCAAUGCUUCAAUAGUUGCUGAAAAGAAGCUCUUCACAAAUGCCUUGAAGAACUUUGGUGUGUACAAAUGCCAUGCACAAAAUAAAUUUGGAACCACAAACUAUUCCAUUGAACUCAAGUUAGCAGAAGCACCAAGUAAGAUUGAAAAUCUUAAAGCCACAGCCAGCUGUAAGAGUAUCGAACUCAUAUGGGAGCAGCCAAAACAAGAUGGAGGCAUGCCCAUCAACAAAUAUGUCUUGACUUUUUUCAAGCACUACUCUGAACAUCGAUGGAGAUGAAACAUCGUACAUUAUCACUGAUCUAGAACAUAACACUGAAUACAGCAUCUCACUGAGAGCCACUUCCAAGGCCGAUUGGGCCCCCCCCCCCAGUCCGUGUAAACGUAAAGACUGAAGAAUACUGUGAGUUUUAGAAUAACAGACCAUAAUUAUGCCAUUCACAUUGUGUUCGUUUUAAACUACUGUAGCUGUCAAUGGAAAACAGUAGCCUGAGAAAUCAGGCUUAUCUCUGUAUGUGUUAGUCUGGCCCUGGUUGAGUGGCAUAUGCA